rnacentral:rRNA from 14 species
GCCUAACACAUGCAAGUCGAACGCACUCUUCGGAGUGAGUGGCGCACGGGUGAGUAACGCGUGGGAACCUGCCCUGGGGUUGGGAAUAACCGCUGGAAACGGCGGCUAAUACCCGAUACGCCUUAUGAGGGAAAGAUUUAUCGCCCUGGGAUGGGCCCGCGUCCGAUUAGCUUGUUGGUGGGGUAAUGGCCCACCAAGGCUUCGAUCGGUAGCUGGUCUGAGAGGAUGAUCAGCCACACUGGGACUGAGACACGGCCCAGACUCCUACGGGAGGCAGCAGUGAGGAAUAUUGGACAAUGGUGGAGACACUGAUCCAGCCAUGCCGCGUGUAGGAAGACUGCCCUAUGGGUUGUAAACUACUUUUAUAGAGGAAGAAACGCAGAUACGUGUAUUUGUUUGACGGUACUCUACGAAUAAGGAUCGGCUAACUCCGUGCCAGCAGCCGCGGUAAUACGGAGG